CAUGUCUUUUUGAUUAUAAUUUAAAGUCUGACCUGCCCUAUGAAUAAGUUAUUUUUAAAUGGCUGCGGUACUCUGACCGUGCAAAGGUAGCAUAAUAAUUAGUUUUUUAAUUGGGAACUGGUAUGAAAGGUCGCACGAGAAAAAGACUGUCUCAAUUUAAUUUAAAUUAGAAUUUUAUUUUUAAGUAAAAAAGCUUAAAUAUUUUUAAAAGACGAGAAGACCCUAUAGAGUUUUAUAUAAUUUAAUUUUUUUAAAAGUUAAAGAAUUUUAGAUUUAAUUAUAUUAAAUUAUAUUUGGUUGGGGCAAUUAAAAAAUUAAAAUAAUUUUUUUUAAAUUUAAACAUAGAUAUAUGAUUAAGUGAUCCAUUAUUAAUGAUUAAAAGAUUAAAUUACCUUAGGGAUAACAGCGUAAUUUUUUUUAGAGUACUUAUCGAAAAAAAAGUUUGCGACC
rnacentral:rRNA from 1 species